UACGUAGGUGACAAGCGUUGUCCGGAUUUACUGGGCGUAAAGAGCGCGCAGGCGGUCGUUCAAGUCGAGUGUGAAAGCCCCCGGCUCAACUGGGGAGGGUCACUCGAUACUGAUCGACUCGAAGGCAGGAGAGGGAAGUGGAAUUCCCGGUGUAGUGGUGAAAUGCGCAGAUAUCAGGAGGAACACCGGUGGCGAAGGCGGGUCUCUGGGCCGAUACUGACGCUGAGGAGCGAAAGCGUGGGGAGCGAACAGG
rnacentral:rRNA from 1 species